UACGGGGGGGGCAAGCGUUGUUCGGAAUUACUGGGCGUAAAGGGCUUGUAGGUGGCCAACUAAGUCAGCCGUGAAAUCCCUCGGCUUAACCGGGGAACUGCGUCUGAUACUGGAUGGCUUGAGUGUGGGAGAGGGAUGCGGAAUUCCAGGUGUAGCGGUGAAAUGCGUAGAUAUCUGGAGGAACACCGGUGGCGAAGGCGGCAUCCUGGACCAUUACUGACACUGAAAAGCGAAAGCCAGGGGAGCAAACGGG
rnacentral:rRNA from 1 species